rnacentral:rRNA from 1 species
CUGGCACUAAGUGGAAAAGGAUGUGGGAGCGCGAAGACAGCCAGGAGGUUGGCGUAGAAGCAGCCAUCCUUGAAAGAGUGCGUAAUAGCUCACUGGUCGAGUGGUUCUGCGCCGACAAUGUAGUGGGGCUCAAGUACACCGCCGAUGCCGCGGCAGGCAACAAUGUGUUUUGUUGGUUGGGUAGGGGAGCGUCGUGCACUGCUGUGAAGCACCUGGGGGACUUGAUGGUGUGGAGUGUGUGCGAGUG